rfam:Myotis lucifugus cont2.28131, whole genome shotgun sequence.
GCUGGUUUGGCUCAGUGGAUAGAGCAUUUGGCUGCGGACCAAAGGGUCCCAGGUUCAAUUCCAGUCAAGGGCA